UACGAAGGGGGCUAGCGUUGCUCGGAAUUACUGGGCGUAAAGGGCGCGUAGGCGGCCUUCUAAGUCGGACGUGAAAGCCCCAGGCUUAACCUGGGAACUGCGUCCGAUACUGGGAGGCUUGGAUUCGGGAGAGGGAUGUGGAAUUCCAGGUGUAGCGGUGAAAUGCGUAGAUAUCUGGAGGAACACCGGUGGCGAAGGCGGCAUCCUGGACCGAGAUCGACGCUGAGGCGCGAAAGCUAGGGGAGCAAACGGG
rnacentral:rRNA from 1 species